GGAUAGAAAGAAGGGGAGAAGGAAGCAAACACUAGGGAUUCUUUUCUUCCUUUUUGGUCCAUGUAGGGUAAAGACACCUGACAGCAAUAACUUAAGCACACCCUUAGAAUGACCCUGUAUGGCGGAUGCAUCGAAUUUGUGUUCUGGGCUAGAGAAUCCAGGUGUGGCCAACUUGAGGAUUCAUUUGUUGUCUAUGAGGAGCAUCUGAGCCCUGCCUGCCCUUGUUCCAACCAUCGUUCCGUCCCAUGAAACAGGCUGUACAGGAGAUGGAGGCCCCAAGUUUGGGUUGAAUGAAGGUUGCCAGGUGGAGGUUGUUAGGGAAAGGGUGUGCCAGGUGCAGGUUGUUAGGGAAAGGGUGCUGAGUGAAAACACUACCUAAAUUGCAUGCCUUUUGCAAGUGGUUUUGGUUCUUCUGCCUGGCCUGACCCUACUGGGCCCUGGGGUUAUCUUGUCCAUCACUGGACUCUCUCCCUUGUAUGUCACCCCGUAGUAAAACCUCCACAGAUCUCAUUUCUGGUUCUGUGUCUCUUCUUUGGCCUCUUGAACCUGAUGCCUUUUCUGUUGAGGUUAAUAGGGCGUAGGCACAGCAGUCAGGAUGGACUAGAGAAAGUGAAGAGGUGGGGGGACAGUAAGGUGCUUCCUAAAGUUGAAGAUAAAGAUCCCUUCUGAGAAGGAAAUUAUGAAAGAUCAACACAACUAACCCGCCUUAAACUGGAAUGUGUAUGUGGCUGACAUUUCCUAAUGGAAGAGCCUAGGUAUAGCAUGAGGAAAUUAGCAUGUCUAAACCCAGGGUUCUACUCUUUCCAUUGUAACUUUCUUUGGCAAGAGUGAUAACCCUUGGAGUUAGCCUUCACUGCAUCUGCAAGCACAGAGUACAAACAUCAAGGAUUGUUCACAGGAAAGAGCCUGGACUGGCUGUUCCAGCAUCCUUGGCAAGAGUACCUCGACAGCGGAGACAGAUGCAUUGGACUAUCAUAGCUUGGCGACAAGAGCCAUUAAGACCAUUCUUGAAUUCCCUUCUCUAUGAUUCCAUCCUCAUUUUUAAUUGUGCUUUGGCGAUCUGUGUAGCUUUUGCAUAGCAAGAUAAUGAGCUGAUCGGCCAAUGCCAGGAUUUUAGUCCAUUUGACAUUAUUUCUUCUUCAUAAAUUAGUAAUUUGGCAUUCUGGUUCGUAUAUCAAUAUCGUGUGGGUUUUGUAAGAAUGAGCAACUGGAGCAGGAGUUCUUAACCUGUAAACCAAGGGCAGGCUUCAAGGGAUCCAUUAAGCCCUAAGAUUAUGUGCAAAAGUGUGAGUGUGCCCUUGCAGUGUGCAUUUAUCAAGGAGAGGGGGCAAUAGCUUUCACCAGAUUCUCAUAGAGGGUUUCAAAUCUGGAUACACUGGCAAAAUAGUAUUUCUGGGCUUCUAAAACUGAAGUGACCACAAUAAGACAGUGUGCUUUAGUGUGCUGUAAAACAAUGCCUAUCAGGAAGGGGGUAUUCUUUUGUUGUUGUUGUUCUCACUCUAACUAUAAUAUCUUAAAUUGAGGGGAUUAUUCAUAACAUGGUUUUGUUUUUCUUUUCACAGAAUACCCUGGGAAUAUUUUCUUGUGCUAUUCUUCUUUUACGACACCAUUUUAAAUAACUUCAUAAAAUUCAAUGGCACAAAUUCAUCUUAUGAGAAAUAUUUUAAAAGUUUAUUCACUAAUAACCCCUAAGAGGCUUACUGUUUAUGUGAAAUGUAGACUUGUUUUUAUUAAUAGAUACUAAGUGUGAGAAUGAAUUGCAGUCACUAUUAUUGACAGCUAAUAUUUAUGACACACUAGCUCCAUACCAGGCAAUGUGCUAACUGCUUUGCAUAUGAAAUCUGGCUGUGAGUUUUACAACAGCCCUGGGAGGUAGAUAUUAUUAUUUUCACUCAACAGCUGAGGAAACUGAGAUAUAGAAAAGUCAAAGAACUUUCUGAGGUCACAUUGCACUCAGCAGUGGAGUCAAGCUGCCAGGCCACAUCUGGCUGCCCUUCCCCCCUCACCAUAAUACUCAAUGUCUUUAUCCUUUAAGCUCCAUUUGGACGUACUUCAACCUUGAAGUUUUAUUCUCACUCAAAGUCAUUUCUUCCUUUGUGGAAGUCCUCUGGUUCUUCAACUGGCUCCAAAUCACCCCCCUUAGCACCAUUAGAGUAUUACCUAACUCAAGGGUCAGCAAACUUGCUGUCAAGGACUAGAUUGUAAAUAUUUUAGAUUUUGUGGCCCAUAUGGUCUCUGUCACAAUUACUCCACUCUUGUGCCCACUGUAGCAUGAAAGCAGCCAUAGAUAACCACUAAAUCAGUGAAUGUGGCUAUGUGCCAAUAAAAUCUUAUUUGUGGACAUUGAAAUUUGAAUUUCAUGUAAUUUUCACAUGUCAUAAAACGUGUUCUUCUUUUGAUUUUUUCCAAUCAUUUAAAAAUAAACUAUUCUUAGCCCAUGAUCUGCAACAAAAACAGGUGGCCAGCUGGAUUUGACCCAUAGACCAAAGUUUGCCAGCUGUUCAGACUGCAUCUUCUGUGUUCAUAUUCUCCACAACUACGUAGAACAUCUUUGAGCUUAAAAACUAUAUCUUAACCCUUUCUGACUCUCCACAGAAUCUAUAUACAGGGAUAGACUCAUAAUUAAGUACUCAACAAAUACUAAUAAUCAACAUUAAUAGUAUUGAUGCUUUUCACCCUCAGAGCCAUAUCUAAGAAGAAAUAAGUCCAUUUCAAAACGUUUUCUUCACCCUUUUCCCUCUCUAAUGAAAUUCUGUAUCUCUGAAGUACCACAGCAGUUUUUUGGUUCUGAGUGCUGAUAAGCAAUACCCACGUGCUUGGUUAGCUUAAAGGUCAGAUGCUAUCCUGGCCAGAGGCCAAGGAAUACAGCUGGUGAAAAUUCAAGCUGUCACACACUUGUUGCUAGCCUGAAUUUCUAGUUCCUUCAUCAUGAAUUAUUAGAUUGUUUAUCAUAACCAUUUGCUGCAUGAACAAUCAUUUUUAAAGCCAUAAUCCCCCACCGGGAGAGAUGUCAUGACUCAAUGGGCUCAAUUUAGGACCAUGAGAAUCCUGCUGCAGGACUGGCUGCCAUGCAUCUUCUGUGGGCCUUCAUCUGUCAAUGGAGGAGAAAAUGGAUAAUGAUGAAGCCCACAGAUUUCACUCCAGAACUGACUUUGCUGCAGAGGAGCGAGGAGAGCUGCCUGGCAACACAACGCAUUGCUGUGCAUAAACUUUGUUUACAGCCAAGGCUGGAGUAAAGGAACAGAUGGCAAGAAAAUCGGAUUUAAAGAAAGGAAGGAUGUGCCUGCAUCUGGGAGCUCGGUAAAUCUCUUGGCUUCUGGUGUGCAUACAAGGGUGACGUCUAGCUACCCCAGCAGUCGCGUCCCAGUUUGCUGUUGAUUUUUGCCUGUUUGGAUCUGUCUCUGAGGAUGGUUAAUACAUCUUAUUACAAGCAUUUAUCUCAUCCCUCCCACAGGAAAUGUGUUUUCCCAGGGAUUUGUAUGAUCCCUAACCUUUUAUGGAGAGCAGUUUCUUGAUCAUCCAUGUGAUUGUGUAUCUAAAAUUUCAAGAAUAUUUAAGCUGUUAAUCCUGCUUGUCUGUAGAAGAUGGGUUUAUAUUUCUAUGAUCUUGGAAAUAUUUACAAUGAGUGUGUAUAACAAGGAGAAAUAAGCAUAAACAUUUAUGCGUGCCACAUUC